CCAAGGAGUCUAACAUGUGCGCGAGUCAUGGGGUUUCACGAAACCUAAAGGCGCAAUGAAAGUGAAGGCAGCCUCGGGUUUGCCUAGGUAGGAUCCCUCUCUUCCGGAGGGGGCGCACUACCGGCCCGUCUCGUCCUCGUCGAGGUGAGGCGGAGCAAGAGCGUACACGUUGGGACCCGAAAGAUGGUGAACUAUGCCUGAGUAGGACGAAGCCAGAGGAAACUCUGGUGGAAGUCCGUAGCGAUUCUGACGUGCAAAUCGAUCGUCGAACUUGGGUAUAGGGGCGAAAGACUAAUCGAACCAUCUA
rnacentral:rRNA from 1 species